AGACUUUCAAAAACUACAAAAUUUCUUGCAACAAAUACCAAUUCGCUAUAAAAAUACAUCUAUAUGUGCUUUUGCAGCAUGACACUCUAGAAACAAUGUCAACUAUUAAAAACGAAGAGAAAAAAGAAAAUAGUUUUUAACCUUUAUAUUAAUACAAAACGAUAGAGAGCACCCGCAAACAUAUAUAUAUAUAUAUCUGCCAGAAUACAACAUGCAGUCCAAGAACUGGAUCCUCUUAAGGAAAUUUGAACUUUUCAUCAAAGUAAGCUGUCCACUAAACACUAGCCAGAAUGAAGAUUUUAUUUGAGGCCAAUUACUGAUAUAUGCACCCUUUUCAUUUUCAGAAGGGCACUUCUUCUGUUUCUAAUUUGGCUGACAAGGAUUCUUGUAAAUCAAAGUUGGCGGGAAAUAGAUUACACUGUGCAUAUUGCGCCAUCAAUUGGUCCACAAGUACCAAAGCUACCAUGGCCUCUACCAUGGGUACAGCUGCAAGUCAGGUCCAAUAAAAAUUUAAGAAAUUUUCUUUAGUAAUGAUGAAAAGAUAGGACAUGAAAAUGAGUUGAAAUCUAAUAGAAAAUCAGUCACAGAAACAUAUAGAUCUUCCUAACAUUAGAUUUUUGUCUUCGUGUUUUUUUUUUUAAUUUAAAAAAAAAACGUCUUUUUACCAGUAGAUUGGAUUGGCUACAUAUCUUUAUGAAAAAAAUGUCAUGUAAAAAAUUAUCUUGCCCUUUCAGGACAAAGUUAAACUCGAUUCUAAAUGAUUUUCUCAGUAACUUGGAUGAAUUGCUAUCAGAGACAACAUAAAACCUUAACUAAUGGGAUGAAAAUAAGAUAGGCAGCACUUCAGAAAAGGCUGAUAUACUAACCUCUCGGGACAACACAGGGAUCAUGACGACCACGGGCUAUGAGCUCUGUUUCUUUCUUAUCCCGAGUCACUGUAGAUUGCUUCUUCUGCACAGGGAUAACAUUAUGUUCAAUUCAUAUCAAAUAGAGAAAAGUCAUUGUCAUGUGCAACAAACCACCUAAAUCAGCUAAAAAUGGGGGGAAUGUGAAGAUCUGCAUGCCAAGGAACUGGAGGCAGCAAGAUUACGCAAACAAAAGGCUUCCUCAAUUGGUACCCUGAAAACUCGGGAUAAUGUUUACUACUCAAUUGGUACCCUCAAUUGGAAUCAGAUGAUGUUUACUACUUCAUAUAACUAUGCAAUUGUCUCAUUCAAAUAGAGAAAAUGGAAAUCAAUAAGCAGCUUCAGUAGUUGCUAUCUUAUUUCCUACACAGCUGAUCUUGUUUUGGCAUCUUAUUUCCUACACAGCUGAUCUUGUUUUGGCAAACACACCUCACCUCAAUGGUGAAAACGGUGUGGGGGCGUGAGUGCUUUUUUUAAUGUAAGUAUACAUUGAUUAAUAUUGAGGGGAUAUAAGGUUGAUUUAGUGGUUGGGGUGAAGGAGUUGAAGAGUAGAUUGAUGAGGAGGUUGAGGUGUCUGCCCCCAUACACAACAUUAACACUUAAAUUUGCCAAGUUAGAACUUGAGUGCAACUCAUUUACUCCCCUGACAUUGGUUUUUGAUAUGAUGUGUGAUUGUGUGUGUGUGUGUGUGUGUGUGAGAGAGAGAGAGAGAGAGGAUAUUGGACUUACUGUAAUAGUCGAUGUCGGCUUGAAACCUAUUCUCAUGUUAAUUAUUUCUCCAUUCGAAAUUCCACCCUGAUUUUAAAUAUAAACAAUACAGUAAAACAAAUAUAGAACAUGACCAUCAUACAACAUAUCUAGAAACAACUAAUUUGUUAUAGAACUGAACAAAUACCUGUAUCCCACCAGAGCGGUUUGUUCUUGUCCUCAUUUUUCCAUUUUGGUCUAUAUAAAAUUCAUCAUUGUGUUCACUCCCAGUCAAAAAGGUACCU
rnacentral:lncRNA from 1 species